rnacentral:rRNA from 1 species
GUGGGGAAUAUUGGGCAAUGGGCGAAAGCCUGACCCAGCAACGCCGCGUGAAGGAAGAAGGUCUUCGGAUUGUAAACUUCUGUCAUUGGGGACGAAGGAAGUGACGGUACCCGAUGAGGAAGCCCCGGCUAACUACGUGCCAGCAGCCGCGGUAAUACGUAGGGGGCGAGCGUUGUCCGGAAUUACUGGGCGUAAAGGGUGCGUAGGCGGCGAUGCAAGUCCAUUGUGAAAAGCCCGGGCUUAACCUGGGAGGUGCAGUGGAAACUGUAUGGCUUGAGUGCAGGAGAGGAAAGUGGAAUUCCUAGUGUAGCGGUGAAAUGCGUAGAUAUUAGGAGGAACACCAGUGGCGAAGGCGGCUUUCUGGACUGUAACUGACGCUGAGGCACGAAAGCGUGGGGAGCAAACAGGAUUAGAUACCCCAGUAGUCC